UAUGCUAUUGUGGUCAGACUUAGAGAAGAUUGUUUAUUUUAUUGAACAUACAGUUCCUUGGGAAGACAGAGUUGAAGUAGCUAAUGAGCUUAAGAAAGCGAAGUAUGCUGAGAUGGCUGAAGAGGCAGCACAGAGAGGCUGGAGUUCGCGACUAAGGCCUAUUGAAAUCGGUGCACGGGGGUUUGUUGCUAGAUCUGCUAUUAGCUUGCUGACUGAACUGGGUAUUUGUGGACGAAGUCUGAGGCAGGCGGUUAGUUACAUGUCCGUGGCAGCAGAACGAGCAAGUGAAUGGCUGUGGGUAAGGAGAAAACAUACUUCCUGGGGUGCAAGCUGAGCCUAAGGCCAAGAAGAAAAUGUCCCUAAAAGUCCCUAAAAAUGACUCGAUGACAGAGGUGACCAAAAAUGAUUUGGAUGGUCCUGAAGUUGAAGGAAGCUCUGCUCCAAGUC